rnacentral:rRNA from 1 species
GAUGAAUGUCAUAUAUUAGACAUGUAAUAGUUUAUUAUAUAAAUGAAAGUGUAAGCAUUCCACCUCAAGAGUAAUUUGGCAACAUUGGAACUGAAAUCAUUAGACCGUUUCUGAAACCAGUAGUGAAGUAUGUUGUUUAAUUUGAUAACCCGCAAAAAACCUUACCACAAUUUGAAUAUUUAUAUCUUUUUUAUUUUUAGUUUUUAAUAAUUUUUUUAUACAUAAAAAAACAGAAAGAUAAGAAAAAUAUUUUUACAAGCGUUGCACGGCUGUCUUCAGUUAAUGUCGUGAGACUCUGGUUAGUUCCAUUAAAUUAACGUAAACCCUUACUUUAUUUUUAUAUAAAGUUGUUCUCCGCUAUAUUGGAUAAGAUAACAGGGACUAAGACAAGUCAUCAUGGCCUU